rnacentral:rRNA from 1 species
AUACGGAGGGUGCAAGCGUUGUUCGGAAUCACUGGGCGUAAAGCGCGUGCAGGCGGCCCAUUAAGUCAGAUGUGAAAGCCCUCGGCUCAACCAAGGAACUGCAUCUGAAACUACUGGGCUUGAGUACGGGAGAGGAGAGUGGAAUUCCCGGUGUAGAGGUGAAAUUCGUAGAUAUCGGGAAGAACACCGGUGGCGAAGGCGGCUCUCUGGACCGAUACUGACGCUGAGACGCGAAAGCGUGGGGAGCAAACAGGAUUAGAAACCCUAGUAGUCC